rnacentral:rRNA from 1 species
AGGGAAUCUUCCACAAUGGACGAAAGUCUGAUGGAGCAACGCCGCGUGAGUGAUGAAGGUUUUCGGAUCGUAAAACUCUGUUGUAAGGGAAGAACCAGUACGUCAGGCAAUGGACGUACCUUGACGGUAACUUAUUAGAAAGCCACGGCUAACUACGUGACAGCAGCCGCGGUAAUACGGAGGAUGCAAGCGUUAUCCGGAUUUAUUGGGUUUAAAGGGAGCGUAGGCGGACUAUUAAGUCAGCUGUGAAAGUUUACGGCUCAACCGUGAAAUUGCAGUUGAAACUGGUCGUCUUGAGUGCAGUAAAGGUGGGCGGAAUUCGUGGUGUAGCGGUGAAAUGCUUAGAGAUUUGGAGGAACACCAGUGGCGAAGGCGACUUUCUGGUCUGCAACUGACGCUGAGGCGCGAAAGCAUGGGGAGCAAACA